UACGUAGGGUGCAAGCGUUAAUCGGAAUUACUGGGCGUAAAGCGUGCGCAGGCGGUUGUGCAAGACAGAUGUGAAAUCCCCGGGCUCAACCUGGGAAUUGCAUUUGUGACUGCACGGAUAGAGUGUGUCAGAGGGGGGUAGAAUUCCACGUGUAGCAGUGAAAUGCGUAGAGAUGUGGAGGAAUACCGAUGGCGAAGGCAGCCCCCUGGGAUAACACUGACGCUCAUGCACGAAAGCGUGGGGAGCAAACAGG
rnacentral:rRNA from 1 species